CGAACGCUGGCGGCGUGCUUAACACAUGCAAGUCGAACGGAAAGGCCCUGCUUUUGUGGGGUGCUCGAGUGGCGAACGGGUGAGUAACACGUGAGUAACCUGCCCUUGACUUUGGGAUAACUUCAGGAAACUGGGGCUAAUACCGGAUAGGAGCUCCUGCUGCAUGGUGGGGGUUGGAAAGUUUCGGCGGUUGGGGAUGGACUCGCGGCUUAUCAGCUUGUUGGUGGGGUAGUGGCUUACCAAGGCUUUGACGGGUAGCCGGCCUGAGAGGGUGUCCAGCCACAUUGGGACUGAGAUACGGCCCAGACUCCUACGGGAGGCAGCAGUGGGGAAUAUUGCACAAUGGGCGGAAGCCUGAUGCAGCAACGCCGCGUGCGGGAUGACGGCCUUCGGGUUGUAAACCGCUUUCGCCUGUGACGAAGCGUGAGUGACGGUAAUGGGUAAAGAAGCACCGGCUAACUACGUGCCAGCAGCCGCGGUGAUACGUAGGGUGCGAGCGUUGUCCGGAUUUAUUGGGCGUAAAGGGCUCGUAGGUGGUUGAUCGCGUCGGAAGUGUAAUCUUGGGGCUUAACCCUGAGCGUGCUUUCGAUACGGGUUGACUUGAGGAAGGUAGGGGAGAAUGGAAUUCCUGGUGGAGCGGUGGAAUGCGCAGAUAUCAUGAGGAACACCAGUGGCGAAGGCGGUUCUCUGGGCCUUUCCUGACGCUGAGGAGCGAAAGCGUGGGGAGCGAACAGGCUUAGAUACCCUGGUAGUCCACGCUGUAAACGGUGGGUACUAGGUGUGGGGUCCAUUCCACGGGUUCCGUGCCGUAGCUAACGCUUUAAGUACCCCGCCUGGGGAGUAGGGCCGCAAGGCUAAAACUCAAAGGAAUUGACGGGGCCCCGCACAAGCGGCGGAGCAUGCGGAUUAAUUCGAUGCAACGCGUAGAACCUUACCUGGGUUUGACAUGGAUCGGGAGUGCUCAGAGAUGGGUGUGCCUCUUUUGGGGUCGGUUCACAGGUGGUGCAUGCCUGUCGUCAGCUCGUGUCGUGAGAUGUUGGGUUAAGUCCCGCAACGAGCGCAACCCUUGUUCACUGUUGCCAGCACGUUAUGGUGGGGACUCAGUGGAGACCGCCGGGGUCAACUCGGAGGAAGGUGGGGAUGACGUCAAGUCCUCAUGCCCCUUAUGUCCAGGGCUUCACGCAUGCUACAAUGGCUGGUACAGAGAGUGGCGAGCCUGUGAGGGUGAGCGAAUCUCGGAAAGCCGGUCUCAGUUCGGAUUGGGGUCUGCAACUCGACCUCAUGAAGUCGGAGUCGCUAGUAAUCGCAGAUCAGCAACGCUGCGGUGAAUACGUUCCCGGGGCUUGUACACACCGCCCGUCAAGUCAUGAAAGUUGGUAACACCCGAAGCCGGUGGCCUAACCGUUGUGGGGGAGCCGUCGAAGGUGGGACUGGUGAUUAGGAC
rnacentral:rRNA from 1 species